GAUGAACGCUGGCGGCGUGCCUAACACAUGCAAGUCGAACGGACUUACAUUGAAGCCUAGCGAUAUGUAAGUUAGUGGCGGACGGGUGAGUAACGCGUGGGUAACCUGCCUUGUACUGGGGGACAACAGUUGGAAACGACUGCUAAUACCGCAUAAGCGCACAGCUUCGCAUGAAGCAGUGUGAAAAACUCCGGUGGUACAAGAUGGACCCGCGUCUGAUUAGCUGGUUGGUGAGGUAACGGCCCACCAAGGCGACGAUCAGUAGCCGGCCUGAGAGGGUGAACGGCCACAUUGGGACUGAGACACGGCCCAAACUCCUACGGGAGGCAGCAGUGGGGAAUAUUGCACAAUGGGGGAAACCCUGAUGCAGCAACGCCGCGUGAGUGAAGAAGUAUUUCGGUAUGUAAAGCUCUAUCAGCAGGAAAGAAAAUGACGGUAC
rnacentral:rRNA from 1 species